UGAGCUGAAUUCAUUUCCUUAAAAUACAAAGAACAAUAAAUUGAGAUGCAUUUUCAAUGCUUUAAUACAUAUAUGCACACACAAAUCAGUGUUGUGAGAAAUUCUUGCAUUCUGACCUGCAUAGAUCUAUAGUCCUAGCUAGUCCUUCAUUUGUUGAAGCAUAUGCACCACUCUAUCCAUGGAAGGCCGAUCUUUGGGACUUUGUGAAAGGCAACUCUCAGCAAUUCUAAUCAUUUCUCUCAUACUUUCCUUUACUUCUCCCAUUUUGGGGUCGCAUAUACCUAUCAGCCCUUCUCUCUUUCUCUUUUCUAUGACGUAUUCUCCCAAGUUGGUCACAGUCGGUCUCUUUGCAGUAACAAGCUCCAAUAACAAAAUUCCGAAGCUGUAAACAUCCGACUUACGCGUAAACCUUUUUGGAUAAUUUUGAUUGGAUAUUAGUUCGGGUGCAACUCUGCCAGAAUUUCUUCUUAUGAUGGUUGUUGGAGGUACGAGGUAAGGUGUUUCAUAGCCGGAAAGGCAAGCAGAACAGUCUGUCCGAAUUAAGAUAUUGCUUGCCUUAACCACCCCACAGACAAGGUUGCUGCCUUUUUUUGUAACUUGAUUGUGAAUGAAGUCUAUUGCCAUUGCUGCACAUAGUGCUAUGUGCUUUCGAACUUCCCAACUCAAUGGGGUGUAUCGGAUUCCUUCACUUCCAUGUAAAAGCUCCUCCAAACUUCCCAAGCACAAAUACUCAUACACAACAAAGGCUUCUCCACCGCACCAGAAACUCAAGUGCAUUGGCAAGAGCCAGGUGUUGCGAAUUCCUCCAAAGAAAUUAAUCCAUAGCUCAAUAUCAUCUGGCUUGACCAAUCCUUGUCGGAUCACUCGAGCUGUGACGAUGAAGCCACAAUUAAGAAUAAGCUUGAACAAAGUCCCCAUGGUACCUUCACCAAGCAUAACUUUUGGAAGUUGAGCUAGCUCUGAUCCAUCACAGUACUUUUUUGCAAACCCAUCUUGUUCAAAUAUCAACUUAGCAGGCAGUGUCACUUUCACCUCCGGCACCGACCCUGGAGUUAUGUUGGUUACUUUUCCAUCACUGAAUUUCGUCCUCCAUUUCACUGCUCUGGUAAAAAUGAGUUCAAUUGCUGCGUAGAUGAUGCCAAAAAUAGAAAAUAAGCCCCGUGGAAGACAAGCUGCCUUGUUCAUGUCUGGCUUAGUCUUGGAGAGAAUUUCUGUUCUGUUCUGUUCUUAGCAAACACAACAUUAUUGACAAAGGUAUUUUUCUUUUCCCAUUUACAACGUUGCAACUGUACGUUGGUUUUUCCACCAGAAAUCUUG
rnacentral:misc_RNA from 1 species